GUCAGUGUGUCCGAGUGGUUAAGGAGACAGAUUUGAAACCUGUUGUGAUAUCACGCGCGGGUUCAAAUCCCGUCGCUGACG
rfam:Ectocarpus siliculosus strain Ec 32, whole genome shotgun sequence assembly, chromosome LG01